CAAUAAAGAUGCAUUCGGUGUCGAUUCUAUUUCGUGAUUUCCUACUCUUUUCUUGGUUAUUCUUCGGGUUCCUCCCUUCCUAGAACAACACAAACACAAUGUUGUUCUCCGUUUGCAUCAAAUCUGACAAUUUUCUUUGUAGGGUUCAUGAAGUUCUGAAAAUCCCCAAUUUUAAAACCUAGGGCAUCUAAUGGAUUGUUGGACACAACAAGUUCCUCUAAGGAGUGUGUCUCUUGCAAAGACAAGGUCAAUCCACCAAUGAAUUUUUUAUUCCUAAGGUCCACAAGUGCCAGAUAACAUUUCAAGUUCUGGAGAAACCAAGAUUGACUUUGCAAUGUGGAAGCGCAGUUUUGCACGAACUAUAUCUCAAAAGUUGGCCAAGACUACAAGAGAUAUGGCGUUUCAGUGAGUUGGCCGAAUUGACUGUCGACCACUGUCAGUUUUGAUCUGAUGCAGUGUUACCCUUCCGGUUACUUUCUUCAUUACCUUCACUAAGGGCAGAGACGGUUGAGACUUUCGCAAAUGUACCAAAUCGUUUCAAAUAAUAAACAUAUAAGACUGGACAUCGUCUUCCACAAGACUCGUGUCACCAAACAAUCGUAUAAUUUCUAAUUAUAUAGACUAAGAAUGAUCGUAUAAUUUCUAAUUAUAUAGACUAAGAAUGAUUCCAUAAUUUGGGUUUUAAUGCAAUUAAAGUAAACAUACAAGAAUGAUAAAGUGAACUUUGGUAACUCAAAUGGAAAGAUUAGAAAUGAUAUGGAAUGGUAUUGUUGGGGAUAUGAUUUCACCUACUCCACUCUUAUGCAUAUAAAAUUACACCUUCUUCAUUAAAUUACUAAUGUCAAUCUUCUAAUUUACUCAAAACCAAUCUCUUGGUAGAAAGAGCCUAGACUUUCUUAUUAAACUCCACUCCCUUGGAAAACCUAACAAGUUAAUCUGCUUUAAGAAUUGAGAUCUAAGACAACCAAAAGUCCAAGUUUUAUCCCUAGAUACAAUUCUCUUUCGGUAAUUUGUUCCAGUUCUAAGUUUACACAAUAUUUCCCAAUAUCAAGCAAACCAAUAAUCAUGCCAUGGGUAGCAAUCAAUGAAAGAAGCAUCAAAUAUAUUCAAAUCAAUAGCAAUUACAUAAGAGUUCAGUGACUACAUCAAUCCCCCAAUAACAAUGAAAUUAGCUCUCCAUGAUUGGAGAGCUUGAGCUUACAACAAUGGUGGAAAUGGAAGAACGGAGAGAACCCAAGGAAGAAGAAGGACUGUUCCCACAACUCCUAACUCGCCUCCAAGAACUCCAAUUGAGAGAAAUUGUGUCUGGGUGCCCAAAGAUGUCAAGCCAUUCGCGUUUCAGACCUAAAUAGACCUAUUUUUGCCACAUCAGCGUCGUUGCCGCUUAGCGGCAACCCAGCGCCAAAAAUUCCAGUGACAAAGCGCUCAGUGGUAGCCCAGCGGCAGCAUUCCAGAAUUCUCCUAUUAUGCUGUUUUUCUUGCUCUCCUUGGGUUCCAGUGCCUUCAUUUGAUGCAUAGACUUCUUCAAACUACUUUAAGCACAUAAAAGCAGGGAUUAGUGAUCAAAUUAUCUUAUUAAAGCUUAAGAUGCAACUACUUAAGAAACUAAAAGAAAACUAGGAUUUACAAGGCAAAAAAUUAAGAAAGAGUUGACAUUUUCUCUUAAUUCAAUACUGAAAUCAUGAUAAAAUAUGCCACUAUCAGAGGCCCUCCUGGUUAUGCUGCACUAGAUCUUUGGUCGCCAAAUUUUCCUGUAACUCAAAAAUGUGAUGUUUACAGCUUUGGGAUGCUGUUAUUUGAAAUCCUUGGAAGGAGAAGAAACUUUGAGAUGACCUUGCUGUGAGCCAGGAGUGGUUUCCAAUGUGGAUUUGGAAAAAAAAUUGAGGUUGAAGAAGCAGAAGAAUUGAUGGUAGCAAGUGGGAUAGAUGAUCAAAAUAAAGAGACUGCAAAAAGAAUGAUGAAGGUAGCUCUGUCAUGUGUUCAAUAUAAGCAAGAAUCAAGACCUGUAAUGAGUGUUGUGGUGAAAAUGUUAAAAGGUUCGGUUGAAAUUCCAAAACCUCUAAGCCCUUUUCCACACCUUAUUCAUAAGAUUCUUCCACUACCAGAAUCUGGCAACACAUAUACAUUAGAUUCUUUAUUUAUAUUUUAGAUAUGAUUUGAUUUCUUUUCAGGCAAGGGCACUUCUUGGUGAUUAUACAGAUAAAGAAGACACAUCAAUCAGGAUUGGUGUUAUAAUGGGUUUGGGUAUUGCAUAUGCUGGUUCCCAGAGUGAGCAGUUACCUGAGAAAUUGACAGGUGUACUGAAUGAUUCUAAAGCAUCACUUGAUGUGCUUGCUUUCACUGCUAUUUCUCUGGGCUUGAUCUUUGAGGGUUCUUGCAAUGAGGAAAUUGCCCAAGAAAUUAUAUAUACACUAAUGGACAGGAGUGAGUCAGAGUUAGGAGAGCCCCUUACCCGACUUUUACCUCUUGGCCUUGAUCUUCUAUAUCUUGGGAAGCAGGACAGUGUUGAUGCAACUGCCGAAGUUUCAAAGACUUUUAAUGAAAAAAUUAGAAAGUAUUGUGACAUGACGCUUGUCAUGUGCCUAUGCUGGAACUCGAAAUGUUCUCAAGGUCCAGAAUCUCUUAGGUCAUUGUUUGCAACAUCUUGAUAAAUGUAAAACUCACCAAGGUCCUGGUGUGCUUGGAAUUGCUCUGGUAGCCGUGGCUGAAGAACUGGGACUUGAGAUGACAAUUCGAUCAUUAGAACAUCUACAGUAUGGAGAGCAGAAUAUUUGUAGAGCAGUUCCUCUGGCACUUGGUCUACUUUGCAUAUCAAAUCCAAAGAUCAGUGUUAUGGAUACCUUAAGUAGACCGAGCCAUGAUAUGGAUUCAGAAGUAGCUAUGUGUUGUGAAAGCAUGUGAGGGAGGUGUUCACCUCUUGUAAUGAUGUGCUGCGAAAGAAGUCAUUCUGUUACAUGCUUGCACGUCAUGGAAUUACUUUUGAGCUUGAUGAGGAGAUGGCUGCAGAUGAUGGCAUGGAAAUGUUUUAGGAUAUCCUCAACAAUUCUAAGUUAAGUGAAGGAUAUCUCACCCUUGCUCGUGAUAUUGAAGUUACGGAGCCCAAAUCCCCUGAGGAUAUAUACAAGGUGUAAUUUUUGGGGAUAAUGUAACUUCUGCUAUAAGGAACUUUGUACCAGAUAUAACUUCCUGUGCAUGUAUAAAUUUACAUCUAAUGCUAUGAUAUCUUAUUUUUACCAGCUAAAUUUUGGUUCAGUUCAUAAAAUAAUAAGGCCUGAUCAUUUUUAAUAUA